rnacentral:rRNA from 1 species
UACGAAGGGGGCUAGCGUUGCUCGAAUACUGGGCGUAAAGCGCACGUAGGCGGGUCGUUAAGUCGGGGGGUGAAAUCCUGGGGCUUAACUCCGGUUCUGCAUUCGAUACGGGCUAGCUAGAGUGUGGUAGGGGAGAUCGGAAUUCCUGGUGUAGCGGUGAAAUGCGCAGAUAUCAGGAGGAACACCGGUGGCGAAAGGCGGAUCUCUGGGCCAUUACUGACGCUGAGGAGCGAAAGCGUGGGGAGCGAACAGG